UCAAGCGACUAAGUGCACACGGUGGAUGCCUUGGCAGUUAGAGGCGAUGAAAGACGUAGGAGCCUGCGAUAAGGCGAGGGGAGCCGGCAAACAUGCUUUGAUCCUCGCAUUUCUGAAUGGGGAAACCCACCCAAUUUAUUGGGUAUCGUAUACUGAAUACAUAGGUAUACGAGGCGAACCCGGGGAACUGAAACAUCUAAGUACCCGGAGGAAAAGAAAUCAACCGAGAUUCCCCUAGUAGCGGCGAGCGAAAGGGGAUUAGCCGAGCGAUCGGCGCUAGUGGAAGCCUCUGGAAAGUGGCGCGAUAGAGGGUGAUAGCCCCGUACACGAAAGCAAAGAUCGACGUAUUAAGUAGGACGGGACACGUGUUAUCUUGUCUGAAGAUGGGGGGACCAUCCUCCAAGGCUAAAUACUCCUAACUGACCGAUAGUGAACCAGUACCGUGAGGGAAAGGCGAAAAGAACCCCUGUGAGGGGAGUGAAAUAGAUCCUGAAACCGUGUGCAUACAAGCAGUAGGAGCAGACUUGUUCUGUGACUGCGUACCUUUUGUAUAAUGGGUCAGCGACUUAUUGUCUGUAGCAAGGUUAACCGAUUAGGGGAGCCGUAGGGAAACCGAGUCUUAAUAGGGCGCGAGUUGCAGGCAUUAGACCCGAAACCCGGCGAUCUAUCCAUGGCCAGGUUGAAGAUUGAGUAACAUCAAUUGGAGGACCGAACCCACUUAUGUUGAAAAAUGAGGGGAUGAGCUGUGGAUCGGAGUGAAAGGCUAAUCAAGCCGGGAGAUAGCUGGUUCUCCCCGAAAACUAUUUAGGUAGUGCGUCGUAUCUUACCCUCGGGGGUAGAGCACUGUUUGGGCUAGGGGGUCAUCCCGACUUACCAACCCCAUGCAAACUCCGAAUACCGAGGAGUACAAUUACGGCAGACAGACAGCGGGUGCUAACGUCCGUUGUCAAGAGGGAAACAACCCAGACCGCCAGCUAAGGUCCCAAAUGCUAGUUAAGUGGGAAACGAUGUGGGAAGGCUCAGACAGCUAGGAGGUUGGCUUAGAAGCAGCCAUCCUUUAAAGAAAGCGUAAUAGCUCACUAGUCGAGUCGGCCUGCGCGGAAGAUUUAACGGGGCUAAAUUAGCAACCGAAGCUGCGGAUGCUUUCGAGCAUGGUAGGGGAGCGUUCUGUAAGCCGUUGAAGGUGAAUUGAGAAGUUUGCUGGAGGUAUCAGAAGUGCGAAUGCUGACAUAAGUAACGACAAGGGGAGUGAAAAACUCCCCCGCCGGAAGAUCAAGGUUUCCUGUCCAACGUUAAUCGGGACAGGGUUAGUCGACCCCUAAGGCGAGGCUGAGAAGCGUAGUCGAUGGGAAACAGGUUAACAUUCCUGUACUUUUUAUUACUGCGAUGGAGGGACGGAGUAGGCUAGGUUAUCACGGCGUUGGUUGUCCGUGUUCAAGGCUGUAGGCAAGUGACUUAGGUAAAUCCGGGUUGCUCUCUUUAAUGAGAAUGCUGAGAGUUGAUGACGAGUCUCGCAAGAGACGAAGUAAUUGAUGCCAUGCUUCCAAGAAAAGCUUCUAAGCUUCAGGUAAUAAAGAAUCGUACUGUAAACCGACACAGGUGAUCAGGUAGAGAAUACCCAGGCGCUUGAGAGAACUCGGGUGAAGGAACUAGGCAAAAUGGCACCGUAACUUCGGGAGAAGGUGCGCCGGUGUUGGUGAUAGGACUUGCUCCUUGAGCUGACGCUGGUCGAAGAUACCAGGCCGCUGCGACUGUUUAUUAAAAACACAGCACUCUGCAAACACGAAAGUGGACGUAUAGGGUGUGACGCCUGCCCGGUGCCGGAAGGUUAAUUGAUGGGGUUAGCUUCGGCGAAGCUCUUGAUCGAAGCCCCGGUAAACGGCGGCCGUAACUAUAACGGUCCUAAGGUAGCGAAAUUCCUUGUCGGGUAAGUUCCGACCUGCACGAAUGGCGUAAUGAUGGGGGCGCUGUCUCCACCCGAGACUCAGUGAAAUUGAAAUCGCGGUUAAGAUGCCGCGUACCCGCGGCUAGACGGAAAGACCCCGUGCACCUUUACUACUGCUUCGCAUUGAACUUUUAAUCUAUCUGUGUAUGAUAUCUGGCAGACUUUAAAGCUUGAUCACCAGCAUGCGUUGGUUCAA
rnacentral:rRNA from 1 species